GACGGAGGGCGCAAGCGUUGUUCGGAAUCACUGGGCAUAAAGAGCACGUAGGCUGUCAGCUAAGUCGGGUGUGAAAGCCCUCGGCUCAACCGAGGAACUGCAUUCGAUACUGGCUGACUUGAGGACAGGAGGGGUGAGUGGAACUCCAGGUGGAACGGUGAAAUGUGUAGAUAUCUGGAGGAACACCGGUGGCGAAAGCGGCUCACUGGCCUGUCUCUGACGCUGAGGUGCGAAAGCUAGGGUAGCGAAC
rnacentral:rRNA from 1 species